rnacentral:rRNA from 1 species
AUGUGUUCAUACACUGCAGAUAGAUGGCAGAAUGGGAAAGUGGCAACUGGUCCAUUCAGUACUCAGCAUAUCCGUUUGCCUUCGAUCGAGCAAGAAUAUAUACGCAGCCGGCUCGUGCCAGACAUGGAGCACGCGAUGCCGACGAUGGCCGCAGAGUCCGAGGGCGCGACCACCGACGACGACGUGCACCUUUCCCCGACCAGUGUCAGCAGCGGUGGCGGAGGAGGAGGAGGAGGCCCCCCCAGCGUCCGCUUCAAGAUACUCUGCAGCUUCGGCGGCCGCAUCAUGCCCCGCCCGUCCGACGGCGCGCUCAAGUACAUUGGCGGCGACACCCGCGUCCUCGCCGUGCCCCGCUCCAUCCGCUUCCGCGAUUUGAAGAAGAAGGUGGAGGAGAUGUUCAAGACGGAUGUGGCAGCCAUCAAGUACCAGCUCCUCUCCUCCGACGAUCUCGAUGUGCUCGUGUCCGUCACCUGCGACGAGGACCUGGCCCACAUGCUCGACGAGUACGACCGGUUCGAGGCGAAGCGGUCGCCGUCCGCGUCGCCCCGUUUCCGCGUCUACGUCUUCGUGCCGCAUCAAGUCUCCGCCUCGUCGGUCGCCGCCGCCGUCCCCGCCCCCGUCUCCUCUUCGCGCCACGUCAGCUACGCCCGCAACCAGCCGCACUACCAUCAUCACCACCACCUCCUCCAGCCGGAGCGGGAGCGCUACGUGACCUCGGUGCCCGGCACGCCUGACGGAAGCCCGCCGUACCCGGACCAGCCCAACGGCGUCGCCUCGGCGGGGAACUCCCCGCGCGCCAACAUCGUAGAGCAGGCCGUGUUCCGCGGCGGGAUGCAGCGCGUCCGGAGCUCGCCCAACCUCGGCGGCCUGAACGCGGCACCGCUGCCCUUCCAUGACCACGCUGGGGACAGCCCCGGAGGCCUGGCUGGAUACAUGAGCGGCUCGCCGGUGCACCCGGGCGCCGGCCACAUGUUCUCGCAGGCUAGCUACAACCCCUACCGCAGCCCACAGCCGCAGUACUCUCCAGCGCCCGUGCCCGUGCCGCACCACGCCGGCGUGGCCGGGAGGUACGACACGCGUGGCGGUUACGCGCGGGGCGGCAGCUACAUGGCGGCGCCGCUGGCGCCAGCGCUCCGGUCUGGUCGGCCGGUCACCAGGAGCGGCGGGGCGCCGUACAGCGAGAUGCAGACGCCGAAGAAGGCGGCGACGAUAUGGGACUGA